AUCAACUUUCGAUGGUAGGAUAGAGGCCUACCAUGGUGGUAACGGGUAACGGGGAGUUAGGGCACGACUCCGGAGAGGGAGCCUGAGAAACGGCUACCACAUCCAAGGAUGGCAGCAGGCGCGCAAAUUACCCAAUCCCGACACGGGGAGGUAGUGACAAUAAAUAACAAUACGGGGUUCUUUAGGAUCUCGUAAUUGGAAUGAGUACAAUUUAAAUCUCUUAACGAGGAACAAUUGGAGGGCAAGUCUGGUGCCAGCAGCCGCGGUAAUUCCAGCUCCAAUAGCGUAUAUUAAAGUUGUUGCAGUUAAAAAGCUCGUAGUUGAAUUUCGGGGUCAGUAGGUUGGUCGUGCCACCGGUACGUACUGGUCUCACUGAUUCCUCCUUCCUGAUGAGCUGUAAUGCCAUUAAUUUGGUGUUGCAGGGAAUCUGGACUGUUACUUUGAAAAAAUUAGAGUGUUUAAAGCAGGCUAACGCUUGAAUACAUUAGCAUGGAAUAAUGAAAUAGGACGUUCGAUCCUAUUUUGUUGGUUUCUAGGAUUGACGUAAUGAUUAAUAGGGAUAGUUGGGGGCAUUAGUAUUCAAUUGUCAGAGGUGAAAUUCUUGGAUUUAUUGAAGACUAACUACUGCGAAAGCAUUUGCCAAGGAUGUUUUCAUUAAUCAAGAACGAAAGUUAGGGGAUCGAAGACGAUCAGAUACCGUCGUAGUCUUAACCAUAAACUAUGCCGACUAGGGAUCGGAUGAUGUUAAUUUUUUAAUGACUCAUUCGGCGCCUUACGGGAAACCAAAGUGUUUGGGUUC
rnacentral:rRNA from 1 species